CCAUGCUUUCCAGUCACAUUCGCAGCUUGUGAGAGAGAGGGAGCAGCGCUGAAGCUCCCUGGCUGAGUGCUGUUCGAGCCGGCAGGACAGUGCGUGCUUGCCCACGCUGUGGGUGCCCGCAGCUGAUGGACAACGGAACUCUGUGGGGGGGGCAGGAGCCCUGUGUGCCCCAGUGUCAGUGACACCGCUGUGUCCCUCACCUCCUCACCUUGUCUUUGUGGCUGUGGCCUCCGACGUGCUGGCCCCUCUGGGAGCUGCGUGUUCUGCCGGUGCUGGGGCAAUGCAGUGGGAGCUGUGCGGUGCCUGCCAGAGGAUGCUGUGGGCUUCUGUGGGAUUGCUUGGCUCCCAAAGUGACUGCAACUAACUCCAGGUUGGGACUGCUUCUCGGAGGAUGCUGUGUGCAUCUCCACUUGUUUCCCUCCAGCCUCGCUGCGGAGUAUUUGGAGUAAUUCAUUUGCCCCUGCCAAUGGAGGACAGAGUCGCAGGCCUCCAGAGGGUUAAGAGCAUCUGCCUUUACGCCAAGUGUUCAAGCAGGAAAUAAUCUGCAGAGAUACAUGUGCAGCAAUUCAACUGCUGCUGCUCUCCCAGGCUGCCGCCGCUGCUGCUGCUCGGUGUGUGUCAGGAGCCGCGCUCGUCAGAGAAGAUGCUUUCUUGGUGUGUCCGAGGUGCUGGGCAUGGCAGCAGAGCCCCUGCUCCUAGGGCUGAGGUAAACGUCUCCAUCCACAAGGAAUUAUGUUGACCUGCAGGCUCUGCUGGCUCAGUGAGAAGCAUAUUCAGCCUUGAUUAAGGAGUGCAGAUCACUGGGACUCAAAUGUGUCCUAAGGGUAGUUGCUUUGCAUUAGUCCAUGUGAAUGCUGGAUGAAGUCCUCUCUGCAUCCUGAGAAGCAGUACUUUUCCAAGGCAUGCAUCAACACUUUUGUGUAUAGACUGAGUCCUAUCUGUGGAUUCCAGACCCACAAAGAUAACUAUGAUCAGGAGAGAACUAUCAGCCACAUCACUGCCCUCAGCGAUGAUGAAUUCCUAUCCCUCAGUGGAUUUUGCAAAUGUAUUUACAAUGUUCUUACGUUGAUGUAGAAGAUGGUAUCUCCCAGAGACAAGCAAAAAGCUCACAGGAAACCCUUUGUGAGUAAUAAUUAGAGCUGUAUUCAUGUCUGAUUGUUUUGAGAUUUCUGCAACAAAGCUGUCCAUACCGAGGUGGAAUUUGAACUUGCAUUACGAGUUACUCAAGGAUCUCUUUUUUUGCUUCUGGGUGACGGAGGAAAAGUGAGAAAACACUUAAAUUGGGCACUGAAAUUCCCAGUGGUGUGAGAAGUGCCAUAGGGGGCUGGAUGUGUCUUGUAACAGCAGCAGUCUCUUUGAAGAUGGAGUAGCAUAGGGG
rnacentral:lncRNA from 1 species